rnacentral:rRNA from 1 species
GACGGAGGAUGCAAGUGUUAUCCGGAAUCACUGGGCGUAAAGCGUCUGUAGGUGGUUUAAAAAGUCCACUGUUAAAGAUUGAAGCUUAACUUCAAAAAUGCCGUGGAAACUUUUAAACUUGAGUAUGAUAGGGGUAGAGGGAAUUUCCAGUGGAGCGGUGAAAUGCGUAGACAUUGGAAAGACCACCGAUGGCGAAGGCACUCUACUGGGCCACUACUGACACUGAGAGACGAAAGCUAGGGGAGCAAAUGGG